GAUGAACGCUGGCGGCGUGCUUAACACAUGCAAGUCGAACGGAAAGGCCCAAGCUUGCUUGGGUACUCGAGUGGCGAACGGGUGAGUAACACGUGGGUGAUCUGCCCUGCACUUCGGGAUAAGCCUGGGAAACUGGGUCUAAUACCGGAUAGGACGAUGGUUUGGAUGCCAUUGUGGAAAGUUUUUUCGGUGUGGGAUGAGCUCGCGGCCUAUCAGCUUGUUGGUGGGGUAAUGGCCUACCAAGGCGUCGACGGGUAGCCGGCCUGAGAGGGUGUACGGCCGCAUUGGGACUGAGAGACGGCCCAGACUCCUACGGGAGGCAGCAGUGGGGAAUAUUGCACAAUGGGCGCAAGCCUGAUGCAGCGAGGCCGCGUGGGGGAUGACGGCCUUCGGGUUGUAAACUCCUUUCGCUAGGGACGAAGCGUUUUUGUGACGGUACCUGGAGAAGAAGCACCGGCUAACUACGU
rnacentral:rRNA from 1 species